ACAUGCAGUCGAGCGGACCGACGGGAGCUUGCUCCCUUAGGUCAGCGGCGGACGGGUGAGUAACACGUGGGUAACCUGCCUGUAAGACUGGGAUAACUCCGGGAAACCGGGGCUAAUACCGGAUGCUUGAUUGAACCGCAUGGUUCAAUCAUAAAAGGUGGCUUUUAGCUACCACUUACAGAUGGACCCGCGGCGCAUUAGCUAGUUGGUGAGGUAACGGCUCACCAAGGCGACGAUGCGUAGCCGACCUGAGAGGGUGAUCGGCCACACUGGGACUGAGACACGGCCCAGACUCCUACGGGAGGCAGCAGUAGGGAAUCUUCCGCAAUGGACGAAAGUCUGACGGAGCAACGCCGCGUGAGUGAUGAAGGUUUUCGGAUCGUAAAACUCUGUUGUUAGGGAAGAACAAGUACCGUUCGAAUAGGGCGGCACCUUGACGGUACCUAACCAGAAAGCCACGGCUAACUACGUGCCAGCAGCCGCGGUAAUACGUAGGUGGCAAGCGUUGUCCGGAAUUAUUGGGCGUAAAGCGCGCGCAGGCGGUUUCUUAAGUCUGAUGUGAAAGCCCCCGGCUCAACCGGGGAGGGUCAUUGGAAACUGGGGAACUUGAGUGCAGAAGAGGAGAGUGGAAUUCCACGUGUAGCGGUGAAAUGCGUAGAGAUGUGGAGGAACACCAGUGGCGAAAGCGACUCCUCUGGUCUGUAACUGACGCUUAAGCGCCGAAAGCGUGGGGGAGACGAACAGGAAUAAAUACCCUGGUAUUCCACCCCGUAAACCAAUGAUGCUAAUGGUUAGAAGGGUUCCCCCUUUAAUGCGUGCACAAACCCAUAGCACUCCCGCCUGGGGAGUACGG
rnacentral:rRNA from 1 species